CAGAGGAAUCCUGCAAAAAUCAACUUUAUUUGAAUAAAGGGAGAGAGCCAGUGGGUCAUACCCCUGUGGGGUUUCUCUCAACUUUCCCCAGGUACAGCCUUCCCAAACCAUAUCCUACACAUUCCCCCCUGAACGUGUGUCCCUCCCUCAUUGUGCACUGCCUGACCAUUAAAAUUAACCAUCAGCCCACCCUGGGAGGAGAAGUUAAUACUCAUAAGUCUGUUAGGUCUGUGCAUUUUUCCCCAAAGUUCAGAAGUUCAGGCUGUGCUUCGCUCUGCAACAAAUGCAGGGCUUGAUGUAGGUAAAGACCCCCACUCCCAUUCUUCCAGAGCCUGGCAGGUCCUUUCAGAUCAAGCCUUUUGUAAAGACUUUAAACCCAUUUCUCCUAUCACAUAUGCAUAGAUGUACAUGUUUAUGGUUGGCAUUUUUUUUUCCUACCUUUAAUUUUACAGAAUAGUGAGAACAAUGAGAAAUUUUAUAAAUACCAGAAUAUAGGCCAUAAUAUUUGACUUUUUUAAACUUUAAUCACAUCCAGAUAUUGAGAAUGAGGAAACAACAGGGUUGUCAUACCUAGUAGGACGAAGAGGCAGUGGGAACAAACAUGGACUGAUCCAGUGGCAUGCAGCUGUGAUGGAAGGACAUCCUGGUUGCUCUGCACAGCUUUACCUGGGUGCAUGUGAAAAGUCUUCAUUUGAAAGUUUGCUAAGCAACAAAUCCUUCAAAUAGAACAGGUUGCAACUCUGCUCUGCCUGGAAAGUACACAUGCAUGAAGAAACUGGAGAGCUGCUUCAUCAGUGCCAAUCCAUACUGUGGCUGGUCUCAUGAAAAGGAUCUUAUUGAUGAAUUAGAGCAGCAACCCUCCCAGCCAUGGAAGAAUACCUCAUACAAAAAAAUCCAUAGGUGACUAAUAGGUGUGGUAAGCAGCCUGUGAGAUUUGGGAGAAACAUUCUGGUAUACCUGGAAAUCAACCUAGAUCUAAAUUACCUGCCAUUGUGGAUAUUUUAGUCUUAAUUCAUGGUUUUCUACCACAUUUCAGAAUGUAUCCUUUAUCUGAACAGCUUUGCUUUCUUGUUUGUUUGUUUUUUAUGUUUGUCAGUCAUUACACAGUGCUAUUUAGAAUCAAUUUAGCACCCUUCCACGUGUUGAGUGGUUGUGGUGAGUGAUGAUUGCAGGAUUAGCCUGCUAGUAAUUAAAUGUUGCUGCCUCUUAGCUUGAAAAUGAAACAUCUCUAUGGAAUGUAAGUGUUUCUUGCUUUAUUUAGGUUGGGCAUGUCUAAAUAGUAUGGGUAGGUUCUCCAAGUCAGUGCAGGCACAGUGCAAUCAUAAAAUAAUAAAUUAAAAAAACAAAAUGAAGAAGGGGGAAGAGGAGAGAGAGAGAGGAAGAAGAGAAGAAGAAAUUGAGAGAAGGGAAACAAAUUCAACCAAUCAUUAAAACUUUGAAUUGCAUGGGAAAUUUUCUACACUUUGCUGAAUCUUGGGUGUAAUUUCCUAAUUUUGGCUUUGGGCUAUCCAGGUAAAAGUUUCCUGUCUGGACUCAUUUUUACUCACAGAUAGGUCUUCAAAAUUUGUAAGUGUUAAGUUGUGUAAAAUAGGAUGUGUUGCCUGUUUGUUGAAGCCUAGAGGGGUACCUGUCUCAGUAAAGCAGAGGCUGGGUUCUUUACCAUUUGUGGACCCACUGAAUGCUUGAUUUUCAUAUUGGCUUUACCAGUAUGAAGAGUGUUACCUCUUGAAUUCACUGAUUAAUGUUCUAAGCAGAAUGAAGCCCUUCUUUAUUUUUCUCAAAAUCCACUACCAAAAAUCACACUAUUUCAGCAUUCAAAGACAGUUCUUUGCUUCUUCAAAGACUUGUUAGACUGAUCUGUCCCAUGCUCCUCACAGGACUGUAGCAGUAUAACCUCAUAUGAUACAAAUGCUGAGCUUCUGUUUGAAAUAAUAGGGAUGAUGCCUAAUCCUGAACAGACCUCAGAAGGAUUUUAAAUAAAGGUUGUCACUGAGAGGCCUGUAAGCUGCCCUCACUUAGUUCUGUCUGGCCUGUGUUAGGGUGAAGAUGAAGGCAUUUGAAUGUCUUAAUCGAAGCAGAGCGUGAGCU